UUUGAGUUAAUUUUAAGCGGAGACAGGCAUCCAAGCAGGGAGCUCUAUUGCAAUACUCGAAUGCCCGAAAAGGAAGAAGCCUAAGCCCAAUCACUCUCUUUUCAUCCAAAAGUUUGUUUAUGAAAAUGUGGCAAAUUAGGUCAAAGUUCAUUAACGGAAGACGAUUAAUCAGACAUAGAGCUCUAAAGCAGUGUCCAAAUAAUCGGGAAAGAGAAGGUCGAUACCCAAUCAAUCUUUUUCUUCUAUAAGAGAAAUGACGUAAUU
rnacentral:lncRNA from 1 species